AGAGUUGUCUGCCCUUGAUCAGUUGCACUAGGGCUUGGUUGUGUGAAGUCUUUCCCCUGCCCUUGAGCUCUAACUCGUGGUCAUCGUAUGAGUGGAGUGGUAGUGUUCAGCCUGGGUAACCUCCCUCCCAAAAACCCCAAACCUGAUUUGCUCCUAUGCUGUGUGCCAUCUGCUCGGCUUGGUGACCAUCACAGCCGAUUUCCCCCCUCAUCGUGGCUAGAACGCUUCAAAGAACGUGCUUGUGACGUCGCGGUGCGGCGCCGUGAACAACCUCUCUAUUGACCAGUCAUAUGGCGCUUUCCCCGACUGUCUUCACGCGAGCACCGAGGUGUUGAACACCUAGACGAGGUGGUAUUUUAAGAAGUCUAUCCAGUGCCUGCUCAUCAAGUGGAUAGAGCUAUCUAACUAAAGGUUGGGUAGAAGGAUCUAGACCUCUUCACUGCAACAAAGGCAAGCCCCGGUGCAUUUACCUCUUCCUUGUAUUUUUAAAAGACUUUUUAUACACUUAAGUCUAGUGAAAUGUGCACUAAGUUUACAGGAAUUGCUUGGAAACUAUUUGAUGCAUUGACUACCUUGAUAUCCAUUCCUGUUAUAGAUACUUCUUUGGAAGUAUCAAAUAUUGUUUACAAAAAUGCUUAGCCCUGCUUAAAUCUUAUGGAUAGAGGUUGUGUUUUGCAAUAAUGCCUAGCUCAUGGGUUAUCCUGACGAAGGAUGGCUUCUACUUGCAAGAAUAUUUUCAUUGGGAGCAUGGUGGGAUCUUACUGCAAAGUUCCCUAUACUGCUCUUU